rnacentral:rRNA from 1 species
UUGAACGCUGGCGGCAGGCCUAACACAUGCAAGUCGAGCGGUAGAGAGGUGCUUGCAUCUCUUGAGAGCGGCGGACGGGUGAGUAAUGCCUAGGAAUCUGCCUGGUAGUGGGGGACAACGUUUCGAAAGGAACGCUAAUACCGCAUACGUCCUACGGGAGAAAGCAGGGGACCUUCGGGCCUUGCGCUAUCAGAUGAGCCUAGGUCGGAUUAGCUAGUAGGUGAGGUAAUGGCUCACCUAGGCGACGAUCCGUAACUGGUCUGAGAGGAUGAUCAGUCACACUGGAACUGAGACACGGUCCAGACUCCUACGGGAGGCAGCAGUGGGGAAUAUUGGACAAUGGGCGAAAGCCUGAUCCAGCCAUGCCGCGUGUGUGAAGAAGGUCUUCGGAUUGUAAAGCACUUUAAGUUGGGAGGAAGGGCAGUAAGUUAAUACCUUGCUGUUUUGACGUUACCAACAGAAUAAGCACCGGCUAACUUCGUG